AAUUUUUUUAAUACUAAAAAUUUAUUGAUUUUUGUGAAAAUGAGUAAUCAGAGGAUUCCCAUUUAUCCGAAAAUUAAAAUUGGAAUGAAAAUACCGCAUACUAAAUACGGACAAACGAAUUCGUCCAUUUCGAUUCUGAUUUCAAGCUGAAAAAAGGACGAACCAAACACGCCCAUUGUUCAAAAAUGUCGCUCUUAUUAAAGAGGUUCGAGCUUUUUACGAUUGGUAAAGCACUGAAACCGAUGCAGAUGAACACUAAUCCAUAAGAUUACAGCUCCAUAUUUGUCUGUCUCUAAUAGAAUGACAGAAAGAAAGAAUAUAACUCUGGUUAAAAAUUUUAUUUAAUCAUUGUGAUAGUAAAUUGAGGGAAAACUUCAAAUACCACCGCUGUGAUUUCACACUUUUUCAUUUUAAUAUCAUGUGGUUUAAAGUGUAUCAAUUUUGUAUCCUAUAGCUUCGCACUUUCUCACUUUUAGUACCCCAUGGUUUAAAAUGCAUCAAUUUAGUACCCUGCGGUUUCAUUUUUUUCUUUUCCUCGGCUUUUCUGUUAAUAUUUCGUUAAAUUAUGUACAAAAAACUUCAAAUACUCUACGUAGGUUUAUCGAAUAUUUACUUUAGUACCCUUUAGUUUUAACUUUGUCACUAUUUUUUUUUCAUCCGUUAAUAUUUCGUUAAAUUAUAUACAAAAAAGUUCAUAUAUCUUAUUUAGAUUUAUCGAAUAUUCACUUUAAUACCCUUUAAUUUUAACUUUGUCACUAAUUUAAUGAAAAAAUUAGUAAAAUAAAUAAUAAAAAGAGAAAAAUAAAAUCACAGAGUACUAAUUUGAUAUACUUUAAACUACAGAAUAUUAAAGUGAGAAAGUACGAAACCACAAGGACUAAUUUAUAUCCUUUAAUAAAUUUAUUAAAAUGAGAAAGUGUAAAAUCGCGGUGGGGUAUUUGAAGUUUAUCCUUAAAUUUAUAAAAA
rnacentral:lncRNA from 1 species